rnacentral:ncRNA from 1 species
AAAAAAUUUUUUAUAGAUUAAAUAAUUUAUUUAUAAUUUAUUUUAAAUAUAAAUUUUAGUGUAAUAAUUUUAUUAUUUUAAUAAUAAUGAAAUUAUUUUUUUUAUAUUAAUUAAUAUUAAUUAAUUUAAGAAAUUAUGAUUUAGUAAUAUUAGAGUUAAAUUAACUAAAUUUGUGCCAGCAGUUGCGGUUAUACAAAUAAUUUAAUAAAUUUUAUUGAUAAUAAUAAGUAAGUAUUAAAAUUAUAAAAUUAAAUAUAUAAAUAUUAAGUGAAAUUUUAUUUUUAUUAAAAUUUUAUUUUUAUUAUUUAAUAAAUUUUGUUAUAAACUAGGAUUAGAUACCCUAUUAUUAAAAUUUAAUUAUGUUAAUCAGAGUAGUAAAAUUGUUAUUUGAAAUUUAAAUAAUUUGGCGGUAUUUUAAUUUGUUUAGAGGAAUUUGUUAAUUAAUUGAUAAUCCACGAAUAAUUUUACUUAAUUUAAAAAUUUAUAUAUCGUUGUUAUAAAAAUAUUUUUAAAGAAUAAAUAAUAUUUAAAAAUUUAAAUUAAAGAUUAAAUCAGAUCAAGAUGUAGUUUAUAAUUAAGUUUAUAAUGAAUUACAAUAAAAUUAUUUAAAUGAAUAUUUAUUUGUAAAAAUAAAUUGAAGGUGGAUUUAAAUGUAAUUUUAAAUAAUUUUUUAAAAUGAUUGAAAAUUAAAAUAUGUACAUAUUGCCCGUCACUUUCAUUUAUAAAUUGAAAUAAGUCGUAACAAAGUAGAGGUACUGGAAAGUGUUUCUAGAUAGAA